rnacentral:lncRNA from 1 species
CGAAUCAACACGAGGGUAGACUAUAUUGUACAAUUUUCAAGACCACUUGUGCAAAGAUUUGUUCUCAUUCACUUUCACUAUAUGUUUCCUUUGGUUUACCCGAUUGAAGGUAAUAAACCAUAUAAUUACAGCCAAACUAUGCUCUGAUAGAGGGAUCAUAAACAAUGACGUUCACUAGCUCUGGUGCAUGUCUUGAUUGACAAUAAGUUGGCAAAAUCACAGUGUAACACUGAUUUUAGCAAAAACUACACUUUAGGGGUUCAACAAAAUUACAGUGCCACCUUGAUUUCACAAAACUUAACUGUUGUUUUUGAAAUUCGAAAACCUUUGAAAACAAUUUAUGCCACCGAAAAUAUUACUGGGUUGAUUCGCGGACUAGGUCGCUCUCUUUAAGACGUUUCGAGGCACUGCCCAAAAUUGUGCAAGACAGACUAUCAACCACGAAGUCCCCAAGAUAAAACAGCCCAGAUUCACUGUAUCGGAGUUCUGCUGCACUGUAGAAAACCGUUCUAGAAUUACACCCUCUGUAUGUCAGUCGAUUGACUGACACUCAAAUAUAGCACGAAGGCUACUCAAGAAAAUAAGAAGAAGAAGAAGAAGAAGAAGAAGAAGAAGAAUAUUAGGGGGAGAAGUGAGAAAAGCCUCAGAUACGGAGAGCUUUUGGUGUGCUUUUCCAAGUGAGGUGAGCUCUCUAUUUAUAGAUGAGUUCAGCAACUGGAUCUGAGAAAAAAAGGGGGAUCCAAGAGCACGAAGUCCAUCAGCUGGCCACCAGGAACGUGCCUCAGAAAUAGGAAACGUGACUUGACUAAGCUUCUUGACCGGGCAAUAAUCAAAACGUGGGAAAGACUCAGCUUUAGGAUUUUGACGUGGCAAAUAACUGAAGCUAAGUCAAGUUUCGUAAUAUGUGACAUAACGCAAGCAAUUAAUUAAUUAAAUAAAUAAUUAAUUUUCAUAUGUUAAAAAAACUUUAAUACACCACAACCCGAACCGAGUCAAGCCAAGCCGGGCCGGGCCGGACGGGAGGGCGGCGGCGCGCGCGUGUGGUGGUCUGUUUGCUUGCGUUCUCCCUCCUUCACAAAAUUGCGGUGCCCCUUGGGGCCCAACCCAAUUGUGAAACUAACUCCUUAUAAAUGUCAUAAAUGAGUGUGUUCCCUCUAAUGUGGGACUUCUCAUUUUUCAAUUCACACAUUAAAGCCAUCAUCAAUGCCAAUUAUGUUUCAUCAUUUCCAACAAUCCCCCACUUGAAUUUAAAAAUGGAUUCUAGAAUAGCGUCAGACGCUUCAAUAAGAUUGUGCAUAAACAAAGGUGUCUUUCGACUUGAACCUUUGCAUAGCGAGUAGGAUUCAGAUUCAACAAGAGUAACAGUAGUUUUGAACUCUAUCUCUGACAUCAAACCCACACACAACCUUUUCAUUAGGUGUAUUCUAUAAAGCCCGUGCAUUUAGGGCCCUGCACGUGUAUCCCAGUCUAGUGAACGCUCUAGGAAUUCUGCCUCGAAAUUCCAUAGGAAGCGGCCCCCACUUCCACAUUCACGUAGGUGAGUCUAUCAAGAGUACUCCUGUAGCCACUAGGUACCCCACUCCAUAUAGAGUAUAGAUCUCAUUAAGAGUUUCUAUUAUCUCAUCCUUUUUCGCUUCAGGAAUCAUGCUUCUCAUUUUAAACAUAGCAUGUUCAUCUCAUAUCACUAUGACUUGUUAUUACCCAUUGAACCUAAUUCUUGGGAUCUCCAGUCUUUUAGGUCGGGUUACCAUCAUAAGUGACUCAUUUAUCUAUAGGCAUUAGUCCCAUCCUUUUGGAUGUAUUUUGGACUUUCUCUCUAGCUAAUCCUUUCGUCAAAGGAUCAGUUAAAUUUUCAUCAGUGCGUACAUGAUCCACAAUAACAGCUCCUUUCGAAAGUAAUUCUCUAACUGUGUUGUGCUUACGACGUAUUUGUCGUCUCUUAUCGUUAUAAUAACGAUUCUCAAUUUUUGCAAUAGCCGCGGUACUAUCGCAGUGGAUCAACAUAGCUGGUAAUGGCUUAUCCCAUAAAGGGAUUUCUGCUAGCAAACAUCUCAACCAGCUUGCUUCUUCACUAGCAUUAGCUAGUGCUAUCAUUUCAGACUCCAUAGUGGACUGAGCCAAUAUUGUCUGUUUCUUCGAUUUCCAUGAUACAGCACCACCGGCUAUGCUGAAAACAUAGCCACUGGUUGCCUUGGAGUCAUCUGAUAGGGUGUUCCAAUCAGCAUCACUGUAUCCUUCAAGGACGGUAGGAAAUCUUUGAUAAUGUAAUCCGAGACUCAUGGUCCUUUUAAGGUAUCUCAUGACGCUAUUGAUAGCGUGUCAAUGCUCCAUACUAGGUCUACUAGUAAACCUGCACAACAAUCCCACGACAUAGGCAAUGUCGGGUCUAGUACAAUCAGUGGCAUACCUGAGGCUGCCAAUGAUGCUCGCAUAUUCAGUUUGUCUAACACCUUCACCAGAGUUCUUGAAAAGUUUUACACUGGGAUCAUAUGGUGUGCAAGCAGGUUUACAGUCAAAGUAAUCAUAUUUCUUUAGGAUCUUUUCAAUAUAGUGAGAUUGAUCCAAAGAAAUUCCCUUUUCUGACCUAGUAAUCUUGAUUCCGAGGAUUACACUUACUUCUCCGAGGUCUUUCAUAUCAAAGUUGUUGCUCAACAAUGAUUUCACAUUAUUCACAGCAUGAAUGUUUGAAUCAAAUAUGAGUAAGUCGUCUACAUAGAGACAUAAGAUAGUGCAAAUGUCAUUUUCAUAUUUGUAGUAAAUACAUUUGUCACUUUCAUUUACUUUAAACUCAUUCAACCUAAUCAAGUUAUCAAAUUUUUUCAUGCCAUUGCUUAGGAGCUUGUUUAAGACCAUAAAGAGACUUAUCUAACUUACAUACCUUGUCUUCUUGUCCAUGAAUUACAAAACCUUCAGGUUGCUCCAUGUAGAUUUCUUCUUCCAGUUCACCGUUUAAAAAGGCUGUUUUAACAUCCAUCUGGUGUAUCACCAGGUUAUGAAUAGCCGCAAGUGAUAUAAGUACCCUAAUGGAUGUUAGUCUAGUGACUGGUGAGAAAGUGUCGAAGAAAUCUAUGUUCUCUCUUUGUCUGAAACCUUUGGCUACGAGGCGAGCCUUGUAUUUAUCAACAGAUCCAUCGGGUUUCAGUUUCCUUUUCAAGAUCCAUUUACAACCUAUUGGUUUGCAACCAGGAGGCAAGUCUACCAGAUGCCAGGUCUUGUUAGAUUCUAGAGAAUCCAUCUCAUCGUUUAUAGCUUCUUGCCAUAGAUCUGCAUCUAAGGAUGACAGAGCUUCUUUAAUGUUCGCACAUUAUCUCAUAAGGAGAUGUAUUGCUUUUAGAUUUAGGAACUCUAUUCAAAACAUAGCAAACAGUCAAAAUAAUUUCCCCCCACCAAUGAGAUGCAGCACCAGAAUUAAGCAUUAUAGCAACAACUAAUUCAGUAAGAGUUCUAUUCUUUCUUUCAGCUUUACCAUUCAUUUCAGGUGAAUAUGGUGCAGUUGUUUCAUGUACAAUUCCUUGGGUUUUAUAGAAUUCAUUAAAUAAGCCGGAAUCAUACUCUGUUCCUCUAUCACUACGAAACCUCUUAAUCUUUUUGUUAAAUUGAUUUUCUAUUUCAGUCACAAAUAUUUUAAACAUGUCAAGCGCUUCACUUUUAUUUUUCAUGAGAUAUACGUAAGUAAAAUUAGAACAAUCGUCAAUAAAAGUGAUGAAAUAACGUUUUCCAUUUCUGGUUAGCGUUCCGUCAAGCUCACAUAUGUCAGAGUGUAUUAAUUCUAGAGGUUCAGUUUCUCUAACAAUUGAUUUAUGGGAUUUCUUAGUUAUUUUGGCUUGACUGCAAAAUUCGCAUUUUUCAAAAUCCUUUUUAGAUAAUUUUGGAAUCAAGCCUAAAACACUUAAAUUUGAAAUCACAUGUUUGUUUAUAUGACAGAGUCUAGCAUGCCAAAUAUUAAAAUCACACAACAUGUAAGCAGAAGGAGACAUUUUAUUCAUUUCAACAUUCAAUUUAAACAUGCCAUCAGUGGCGUACCCUUUCCCAACAAAGAUACCAUUUUUAGAAAUGGUGUACAAAUCUGCCCCUAUAGACUGAGUGAACCCUGCCUUAUUGAGAAGAAACCCUGAGACCAGAUUCUUUCUUAUUUCUGGAGUGUGCAUUACAUCCUUCAUAAUUAAGGUCUUUCCAGAUGUGAAUGUUAGUUCCACAUCUCCAAUUCCAGCAACAUUAGGGGUGUGGGAGUCUCCCAACAACACUUUCUUAUCUUCAGCAGCAGUGUAUGUUUUAAACAUAGCACGAUCAUAACAGACAUGGCGUGAGGCGCCAAUGUCUAUCCACCAUCCAUCUGAUCCACCAACGAGGUUGAUCUCAGUUAUCAUUGCAACGAAUUGCUCUUCGGUCAAGUUGGCCUGAUUUACAGCGCCUGGCUUGUACCUACACUUGCGUGCCAUAUGACCCUCUUUCCCACAAUAGUAACAGAAAAAGGAAGGAGGGUCAUUUCUAGGAGGUGGUGGCUGUCUGACAAUUGGGACCCUUUGGUGGUUCUCAUUCCUGUUGCUGUUCUUUGAAGUGCGGUUCUGAUUCUUCAGUUGUUUGCCGUUUGGCUUCAGAACUGCUCUGAUGGGCUUCUUCUUCUUGUUAUUAGCCACAAGAAGAAUUUCAUCUUUCUGGUCUUGCUUGCGAGAUUCCUCCUCAAUUCUAAGGCGGGUUAUCAGACUUUCUAGGGAGAAUUCUUUAGUUUUAUGCCUAAGAGAGUUUUUAAAUUCUUUUCAGGCAGGGGGCAAUUUGUCAAUAAUAACAGCAAUCUGAAACUGUUUAUCAAGGGACAUACCUUCAGUGAUGAUUUCGUGAGCUAUUUUCUGGAUUUCAUGAGGCUGAGCUUCCACUGAUCUGUCAUCUGUCAUCUGAUAUUUGAGGUAGCGGCUUACAGCAUACUUCUUGGCUCCAGCUUCCUCAGUAUCGUACUUCUUCUUCAAAGCAUCCCAAACCUGUUUAGCAGUAUUGCUGUCGGAGCUGUAGUAGUCAUACAGAUCAUCAGCAAGUCCAUUAAGAAUAUAAUUCUUACAUAAGUAAUCAUUAUUUUCCCAUAGGGUUAAUUCAGCAGCUAUUUUAUCCUUUUCAGCUUGUUCACCUUUUUCUGGUACAACAGGAAUGUCAUCCAUCAAAACGUUGGCAAGCUUUUUCGUGGUUAGAAAAAACAGCAUCUUUUGUUGCCAUCGUUUGAAGUGACUUCCCUCAAACCGAAACGGUUUGUUGUAGUCAGUAGCAGAUGAACUUGGCCCAGUAAUUUCGUCGGUAGACAUGGCAAUUUGAAAACGUCUUAAAAUUGUUGUUUUUGAAAUUCGAAAACCUUUCGAAACAAUUUAUGCCACCGAAAAUAUUACUGGGUUGAGUCGCGGACUAGGUCGCUCUCUUUAAGACGUUUCGAGGCACUGCCCAAAAUUGUGCAAGGCAGACUAUCAACCACGAAGUCCCCAAGAUAAAACAGCUCAGAUUCACNNNNNNNNNNNNNNNNNNNNNNNNNNNNNNNNNNNNNNNNNNNNNNNNNNNNNNNNNNNNNNNNNNNNNNNNNNNNNNNNNNNNNNNNNNNNNNNNNNNNNNNNNNNNNNNNNNNNNNNNNNNNNNNNNNNNNNNNNNNNNNNNNNNNNNNNNNNNNNNNNNNNNNNNNNNNNNNNNNNNNNNNNNNNNNNNNNNNAGAAGAAGAAGAAGAAUAUAAGGGGGAGAAGUGAGAAAAGCCUCAGAUACGGAGAGCUUUUGGUGUGCUUUUCCAAGUGAGGUGAGCUCUCUAUUUAUAGAUGAGUUCAGCAACUGGAUCUGAGAAAAAAGGGGGGAUCCAAGAGCACGAAGUCCAUCAGCUGGCCACCAGGAACGUGCCUCAGAAAUAGGAAACGUGACUUGACUAAGCUUCUUGACCGGGCAAUAAUCAAAACGUGGGAAAGACUCAUCUUUAGGGUUUUGACGUGGCAAAUAACUGAAGCUAAGUCAAAUUAGGGUUUUGACUAAGCAAAGGACAAAAGAUUAGUCUGUUUAGGGUUUGACCUUGUGGAUGGCAGUUUCGUAAUAUGUUAAAAAAACUUUAAUACACCACAACCCGAACCGGACGGGCGGCGGCACGCGCGCGUGUGGUGGUCCAUUUGCUUGCAUUCUCCCUCCUUCACCAAAUUGCGGUGCCCCUUGGGGCCCAACCCAAUUGUGAAACUAACUCCUUAUAAAGGUCAUAAAUGAGUGUGUUCCCUCCAAUGUGGGACUUCUCAUUUUUCAAUUCACACGUUAAAAGCCAUCGUCAAUGCCAUUUAUCUUUCAUCAUUUCCAACAAAUUUCAGUAAAAUAUAGUAUGCGAAUCAACACGAGGGUAGACUAUAUUGUACAAUUUUCAAGACCACUUGUGCAAAGAUUUGUUCUCAUUCACUUUCACUAUAUGUUUCCUUUGGUUUACCCGAUUGAAGGUAAUAAACCAUAUAAUUACAGCCAAACUAUGCUCUGAUAGAGGGAUCAUAAACAAUGACGUUCACUAGCUCUGGUGCAUGUCUUGAUUGACAAUAAGUUGGCAAAAUCAC